rnacentral:rRNA from 1 species
UACAGAGGGUGCAAGCGUUGUUCGGAAUUAUUGGGCGUAAAGCGCGUGUAGGCGGCAGUGCAAGUCGGGUGUGAAAGCCCUCAGCUCAACUGAGGAAGUGCGCCCGAAACUGCAUUGCUUGAGUACCGGAGAGGAUGGCGGAAUUCCCGAAGUAGAGGUGAAAUUCGUAGAUAUCGGGAGGAACACCGGUGGCGAAGGCGGCCAUCUGGACGGAUACUGACGCUGAGGCGCGAAAGCGUGGGGAGCGAACAGG